UACAGAGGUCUCAAGCGUUGUUCGGAUUCAUUGGGCGUAAAGAGCUCGUAGGCGGUCUGUCGCGUCGGCUGUGAAAACCCGAGGCUCAACCUCGGGCCUGCAGUCGAUACGGGCAAACUAGAGUACUGCAGGGGAGACUGGAAUUCCUGGUGUAGCGGUGAAAUGCGCAGAUAUCAGGAGGAACACCGGUGGCGAAGGCGGGUCUCUGGGCAGUGAACUGACGCUGGAGGAGCGAAAGCGUGGGGAGCGAACAGG
rnacentral:rRNA from 1 species